rnacentral:lncRNA from 1 species
UGCAAGUCUUGCUUCUUGAGAUAGGCAAGAUAGUGAUGUUCAAGAAGACAACUUUAGCUUCUUGAAAUGAGCAAGUUAGCAAUCUUUGCUACUUAAGAUAGGCAAGCUAGCAAUCAAGUUUUUGCAUCUUCUUGACUUGUGCAAGCAAGCUAUCUCCCCCUUUGUCAUUGUCAAAAAGAAGGGAAAACCCUUUACAUCAAUUAUGACAAAGGUAAGUAUCAAUGUU